rnacentral:tRNA from 2 species
GGGCCCGUAGCCUAGCCAGGAUAGGGCGCUGGCCUUCUAAGCCAGAUGUCGCAGGUUCGAGUCCUGCCGGGCCCG